GAGACGAUUGAUAUACGUAGUCUGUAAUCGAAUACAAAUUUCAACUAUUUACAAUAAUCAGGACUUUGAAAAAUACAUAUAUAAAUUAACAUCAAUGAUCAUAACCGAGUUUGGCUUUGGUUCUCCCUUUCAUGCACCGACUAUAAUUUCAGGGAGCUGAGCUGGUAGAAGCCAACAACCAGCUAAGGCAGACGGUAAGUAACUACCACAAUCAUGUACAUAUUUCUUCUAUUUGUUUGUUUUUUUUAUUUGUUUUUCAAGAGGAAGAGUUCUCUUAAUAAAAGAUGGGUUGAUCUUUUUUUUCUUUUGUAAUUUUUUGCAUAGCAGAUGAUGUUAUCCGGAGGAAAUACUGGACCUACGCUUAUGGAACCGGAGAGGUUGAGUAAUAAUAUUGGAGGUGGAGGAGAAGAAGAAGGCAUGUCAUCUGAAUCUGCUAUCUCCACCACCUGCAAUAGUGCUCUCAGUCUCUCUCCCUCUCUUGGAGAUGACUCCGACGACGUCACUUUAUCUCUCAAACUGGGGUGAGCUAGCCUACUUUUGCUUUGCUAUAUAUUUCCUAUUUAUAUACAUAUCUAUAUAUAUGUAUAUUAUUUAUGUUGCGUAUGUCUCUUUGCUUUUUAAGUUUUGAUAAGAUGAGAAUUCAGAGAAGAUAUGCUUGCUUUAUUUAGAAAAAUGAAUACCACAGGGUGUCGUGUAACAAAGAUAUUUUCCCUUCCUGGUGCGGAGAGAAGAUAUGUUUGCUUUUAGAUUUAUUUCUCUACUUGUCAACUUGAUUCUGCGUUUCAUUUUCAACUCUAGCAAACCAAAGCGUUGGAUUUUUUGUCGACAAUAUUUUUUUAUGAUAGAAAUGUCAAGUCAUCAUGAAUUCUAGAUACUUGUACAAAGCCAGGUGCACGAUGAGAGUUUUUUUCCCAUCUGCUUCAAUGUGGUGUAAGUGCUCGUUUGGGCCCAACUUUUUCACCUCAUUGGGGCCCAAAGUUUUGGGCUUGCUUCGAUUGAAGAUGUUUUAGGGUUUGUAGAGCAAGUUUCUUUUGAGGUCUGUCUUUGGGGCCAUUUCAUUUUUUGUGCUUAUUUAAAUUGAAAGAAGUUAGUGACUUCCACCGAAAUUUCUCUCCCUCGACUAAAAUACGAGAGAAAAUGUAUUCCACUCUCCCUCGACUAAAAUAGCAUAACCUGCACGAGGCAUGUACAACUUAAAAGUUAAAACAUCUCCACCAACGUAUCUUGAUGCGCAGUUGCAUUCAUGGUAUUUUAAUUAUCCUUCACCAUUUUAAUAAAUUUGCUUAUCGUUUUACUAUGAAUUUCAGGCUUUCCUAAUUUCUCUGGUUAAGAAGUGGAGAACGAUAAGAGUUUACUCUCCUUGUAGCUAAAUAAAGAAAGUCGAGGUAUUAUAAGAUAUCAGUGAUUGUGUGUGUUAACUCGACUUUGUUUUGUAUCUAAACCUAUGUAUUACGUCCAGCCUGACAAAUUGCGCUUUGACUUGUAUUGUAUUUAGAACUUUGUAUCAAAAUAGUCUGCAUGGAGACUCUUGUGGAUUUUGUAUUGCUUCAAUGUCACAGCACAGGAUAACGUUACGAAAGGAUUAUGAGGUCUUGUUUGGUUGGUGGGUCAGUGUCAUAGACAUUAUUUAUUUAGACUAUUACAACUCAUGUCACGAAACUUAAACUAGACAAAAAGAAGGUAACCAAAUCAAUUUUGAAUGAUUACCUGCAUAUUUCCUAAAGAUUACAUAAUAGUAUAUUCGCGAGAUUCGUAUUUUUUUCGUGGAUUAAAUGCGUAGAAGUCGACAGGGGGAAGAUAAAGACAAAGCCAAGUGUCGCAUGGUGACAUGACAGCGCAUGACCUGUGUCAAAGGAGUUAAAAGCCCCUGCAUAAAUAUCUUUUUUUGUGUUCUUUUUCUUUUUUGGUAGCCUGACACGUAAUAAGAAUUAAACCGACAACUUUUUAAAACAAACUAAACUUAGAUGUAAGACGCCACAUUUUCUAUUCCCACGUUACAAAAUCAACGGUGGAGAUUGCAUUCAUCAACGUCGAGAGCAUCUGUGCCCGUCGAUUCGCUCAGGUUUGUUAACUUGUUUGCCCAGAGGAUACCCAAAGUAAAGCACAGGAUAAUAGAAAAAUAUAUUUUUUUCCAUAAAAGGGAAAAUUCAAUUUAAAUCCUUUCCUUUCUUGAACAGCCAGCCAUUUCUCUCUCUCGUUCUCCUAGUUUUUCUGUACGCACAACUUCAGACCCUGAAGGCCCCAAAAGAAGGUAAACGUUAAACGAAGAGGAAAACCCAUAAAUUAAUUAAUUAGGGUUCUUCUCCUCCUCUUCUUCUUCUUCUUUGUGCUCUGGUGCUCUGGUGCUCUGGUGCUCUGGUGCUCUAGUGCUCUAGGCAUGUUGUUGUGAACUAUUGACCUAUUUCGGUUGGUGGGUUUUUCCGGGUUUUGUUCACAUAGAUCUGGGGGCCAUUAAAUGUUUAAAAUUUAUAGAAGAAACCCAGAAAAUAUUUUGUAGUUUUUGAGUGUAUGAACAUAAUAAUAUAUGUGAAAAGUGGUUGGUUUGAAUUUUUUUGAAGGGAGAUGGUGAAAAUGAUGAGGGAGAAGAUCAAGAUCAAGAAGAUUGACUACCUGCCAGCAAGGCAGGUGACCUUCUCAAAGAGGAGAAGAGGGAUCUUCAAGAAAGCUGCAGAGCUAUCUGUUCUGUGUGAAUCUGAGGUGGCAGUUGUCAUCUUUUCUGCUACUGGCAAGCUUUUUGAUUAUUCAAGCUCAAGGUACCAGCAACACCCACCCCUAUACCUUAUAAUUCUUUUGACUUUUCCUUCCUUGAAAAAAUAACCAAUAUGUAUGAUCAUGGUGUCUCUGAAGUCUGAUGACUUGACUUCUCUCUAUGUGGGAGAGGGAGAGGGAGAGAUUCUGAGAUUCAGUCAUUUGGGUAGAAAUAUAUUUAGAGGAGAGGGAGGGUGCCUUUCUGGAAAUUCCCUGUCCUUCCUGAAAUUCCGUGGUUUGAACUGAGCUCACAGACAUUAUUUAUUGUGUCUAAACUUCCGAAAGAAAAAAAGGAGAAUCCAGAAGCUUAGAGAGAGAGAGAGAGAGAGUCAGUCUUGUAGAUGAUACUUUUAGAUAUUACUUUUUUGGGGUCGAUUUUUACUUUUAGAUAUACUCUGUCUCAAAGGCAACUAGUUCGAGGGUUACUACCUUGUAUAUAUACCACUCCAAGAAAAUAGUCUAUUUUUGAUAAAGAAAACUUCUAGUUAGGUGUCCCAGUUUGAGAAACAUUAUUUUUUUAGUUUUCCAUGUUUUUCAUGCAAGAUGUGGUGUAUAUAUGGUGAUGUUCUUUUUUACGUGCAAUCAAUUUUGUUUACCAUAUGCUAAACUCUGUAUAUCUUGUUCGGUAACUGGUUUUCAUAUAUACUCGCAUAGUUUAGUAUGUUGCUGCUUCAAUAUCAUGUCCCACCUAACACAUAUUGGUAAUAGAUAAUAUAUGAAAUCUUAGGUCGCGCUUAUACAGUGAAGAAUAUCCCUGUCCAAGGAGCUAAAAUUAAUGGUUCCCUUAUGAGAGAUACGGUAUGUUAGAUCAUCAGUCGAAUCAUACACUCAAACAACAAUACAGAUCACCAAUUUUAGAUUCAUAGUCUGACCACAUAAAAUGAUAAAUUUGCUAAUAAAAUAGCAUUUUACUCUUUACCAUAUAUAUACAUCUAUUUGUAUAUAUAUUAUCCUUUGAACUUAAGAUAGUGGCGGGUUGUGUUUGAAAAGGUGUCAAUUCAUUUUCCCCACCUAAACUACAAAAUGCCAGUUUGGCCAAGGGGAAAGUAGCACCCAACUCCUUAUAAGCUUUCGUUAGGUUUCUCAACUUCCAAAAAUUAUUGUGGGACAUUUCUUCACAUUCUCACACGCCCCCUCACGUGUGGCGACAUUUCAAGCCUAACACGUGGACAUCACAUUAGGUGACGUAGAGCAAGUGUGGACAUUGGGCUUCACACGUGAACAAACCCGCUAUGAUACCAUAAAGGAAGUUGAGGUUUCACCCCAAAAUCAAUUGGCCAAUAGGAGGAGUAACCCAACUCCUUAUAAGGCCGUGCUAAGUUUCUCUAACUUUCCAAUGUGGGACAUUUCUUCACAUUCUCACAGUUACAUUGAAUUAUGUGAUUUGUAGUUUUCUUACUAGGAAUAAAGUGAUAUGAUGAUAACUUGGGAAUUCAUCAUAGAAGCCUUGAAGACUUUCAGCAGGAAUAUGCAUGCAUGCUUUCCAAUAAGGCAAUGGGUGGUGGAGCCAUGACCAUUACAUGUUUUUGCCAUGAUUGCAUGAAAGAUUUUGUUAAAACCUAGUUUCAUACUUAGAUGUGCAUGCAUGAGAGGGAGGGUGAGAAUGAAAUGUUAACUAUGGAAUACGAAUUUAAAUAAGGUCAUGUGCUUCCUUUCAGUUAACAAAAAUAAUUGCACAUUGUAAGCGCUGGUCAUUUAUAUUUAAUUAAAAAAAACCUAGAAAUACUACCUCUAAGGUGGUCUUCUUUAACCCAAAAUACACUCCAUAUAUAAAAAGAAUACUCUUAUAUGGCGAUGGUUUUUUUUAUAAAAAUAUUCUGUAUUGUGUGCACGAAUUAACAAUUUUUUUUUUUAAUUUAAAAAAAGUUAUCAUCUAAAAGCUACAUCUAUUUGCGUUGGUUAUUAUCGAACAACAUUAAAAGACAGAGAAAUCAAAACUGUAAGUAACAAACACGUACUAAUGGAGGUCUUUAAUUCUUUAUGUCAGAGUGCAAUUUCUAAUCAAUUUCCGUUGUAAAUUUAAUUUAAAUGUUAAUUUUCUAGGUUUCUGGGCCUAAUUUGUCUACUUUUUUUAUUUUUUCUAUUUUUAAAAGUUUUUCUAAUUGUAUUUCUAUUAAAGCUCUCGAUAUUGCAUUCCAUGUUUCCAUUUGUGCAUGUGUACUUGCAACCAAUGCAUAAGCCAUAAAACGAUCUUGCAUUGAAACUAAAGAAGAUUUUGCUUUGCAUUAUUUUUCAAACUUUUCCAAGUUUCCAAGUAGAGCAAUGUGUCAAACGUUUCCAAGUAAAGGUUCCAUGAGACUCAUCCAUUCUUAAUGCACGGGGCAGAGGUUGAAGUCUAAAACCUAUACAUGACCUAGCCCGAAGCGGAUAGCUUUUCUUAAGGUUUUUAAGGGUUUAGUAAUGAUUCAUCUUUGCAUGGUAGCCUACCAAACCUAACAAUAUAUUCAAAGCAUAUUAGUCGACUUGAUGGUCUCAGAGUUGACGUCAGAGGAACUGUGACUAAGAUUUUUGAGGCCCACUUCUUAUCAGUUGACUUGAUACGUGGGUUUGCUUUGCUUUGUGUUCGAAAAUAUCUCAGCUGCUAUUGAAGGAAUUUGACUUGACGUUUUCAUUUGCGAUAUGUGAUUUGUGUGUUUUAAAGCCAAGCUGAUAUUUUUUUUAUUUUUUAUUUUUUUGGUUUGGGGGGAGGGGGUUCUUAGCUUAUUGCAUGCAUGUGUAGUUUGGUUACUGUUGAUAUUACUUUUUGUAAUAAAUUCUAAUGAAAUAGGUAAUAUAUUCUUUGUACUUGGUUUCUCUUGAGAUGAUUAGUCCCUUUCUUGGGUCUGCAAUAUAUAAUUGGAGGAAAUCAAAUUUUGGGUCUGCAGAAAAUUGGAAAUCAAAGUUUGCAUUAUAAUUGAAACUGAAAUUUCUCUGAUAUCUGGUUAUGUUAGUUAUAGAAACCAAAGUCAGAAAAUAAUUCAAUCAAAAGCCAUGCACACAUAUCAUACAAUGAUAUCAUUUAUUAGUCUUAUACAAAAAAAAUAAAAAUAAAUAAACAUGAGUGUAUCUCUGUGUUUGCAAACCAGAAGUUUGAAUAAUGGGGGUUAAAUUCUUUUCCAUGUUUUUGUUUCUCAUGUAUGCUUAGUCACGUUAAUUUUUCUGUCUAAUAAUUUACUAGUGAACAUGCCAAUUGAUUGUUUUUUUUAAUCCUUUUCUGUUGUGAAGUAUCAAGGAUGUUAUUGAAAGGUACGAAGUGCGCACAAAUGGUGUCGAAAAAUCGGAUGAACAGUCUCUUGAGCUGCAGGUAAAUGAGUUCAAUGAUUUUCCCUUUCCCCCUUUUAAUUGUUCUGCAAUUAAUUGUAACAUACUCUGUGAUCUGCACUUUGGAGCUUCAAAAUGUAUCUCUAUAGCAUCCGACGGUUCUGAUUGUUUGAACAUAGAUAAAAAAAGCAUUGUCAGACUCAUGUAUAUGCAUGCAGCAGGGUCGGCCUCUUGGGCUAAAUAUAUAUAGGUGGCUUUGAUAAGUCCCAACUCUAGUGGGACUUCAUCUGGUGUACAUAAAGAAUUAGCCAAUGAAAAAUUGGAACAUAGAAUCAUCAUCAAAUAUCAAUUAUUAUUUACUUUUACCGUUGGUUGUUUUCCAAGCGUUCCUUUUUUUCAUUUUUAAUUAUGCUAAAGGUAGAGUGUGAAGUAUUGUAACCAUUUGAGUUACAAAUUCAUUGUUUUUCAAACUUUAGUUUUAGGGGCAUGCAGCUGAUUUAAUUUCUUAUGAUAGUUGAGUUGGAGACUUCUAUUGAAUCGAUAUUACAGCCUCCUAGAGUAUCAGUUUUUUCUCCCUAAUUUUAAUAACUUAUUGGUUUAGAAAAAAGAAAAGGAACGAUUUUACUUUUUUGUUUUGAAAUGAGUGAUUUUCUGUCCAAAAUGUAGUACGAUUUUACUAUUAUGUUUUGACAAUAUUGAUUAGGGGUGGGAGGCCAUAGGCUUAAGUACAUCAGUUAAAGGUAACCAAUAACCGUAGCUCUCACGCAGCUGAAAACAGAGACCAACCGCACUCGCAUCUAGGCUCUCACACCGCAAUCACAUUAAGGGGAGGAGCUCCACCCCCCUUCUAACGUCCUCGUUGGCCCACUCUAUCUACACUGACUCGGUGGUAGCCUUUUACUUUCUUUGAGGCGGCUUCACUCAACUAUCAGUAUUCAGUGAUCAAUAUCAUGCCCAUACAUAACACCGAUCAUCUUAAUCCAAUGUAUAGGUCACCCCUUUUGUGGAAUUGGGCCCAGUUGCGUGGUGAACUCAGGCUUUGAUACCAAAUGUUAAGAACUCAUGGGUAGAAUUUGCCCUUAAAAACCGGCUUGUAAGGAAAGGAUGCCCUUGAACUCUUAAACCAUUCUAUAGGAUAUGCUCUUUUUCCAAUGUGGGAUCUUGAGUCCUAACAGACGGCUAAUCUUUGCCCCCCUCUAUUUUAAGCCCCUAUGUCUCUCAUCUCCUCUAAUUUCCCUUCUCCUCCUCUCAUCCCCUCACCCACACACCAGUUCCUUUCUCUCCCCCUUCCAUGAGAUUUGAAACCCUAAAAUCCUCCUCUCCCCUUACGAUUUUCUUAGUCUAUUGGCUUGUUGCAGCUGCUUCUCCCUCCAACCCACCCUCAUAUCUGGCUUUUGCUAUGGACGUGUGGUGGACUAUGUCAUUUAAUGGUCAAUUUUGACCCCCCCUGGAUCACUUGAGUAUGAUGAAUGUUGGUGGCUUGCUCCUCCAAAUCCAUGCUAUACAAAUCCUUGUUGGUUUCUUUGGACAUUCUCCUUCUAACAGCGGCGGCGGCGGCGUCGAUUCUGUUUUUCUGUUUUGGGCCUAGAAUUGGGCUUUUAUUUUCUUUUAUUGGUUGAGCCCUUGUUUCUCUCUUUUUGACUUUGUAUUGGGUUUUAUGCCAUAGUAGUUAUGAUAUUUAGAACAUACAAUCCCGAUCUCUUGGACUACAGGGGUGCAAGAGUUAUGCCAUUAAUUUCUGUCAUAAUAAUUAUGAUAUUUAGAACAUGCCUCUGUUCCAAAACUGUAAACCAUAAAUAUUUAGAACAUCAACGCAUUCCACAAAUCAUGUCUCCACCUACAAAUCACACUAAACUUCACCCAAAACCGUAAAUAUGCCUCUAUUCCAGGUAUAGCCACCUCAAAACUUGUAAUCGAGGUUCCUAGAAACUUCAUACCUCUAGUCCAGGUAAUUAAACCCAUAAGCCACCUCUAGUCCAGAUAAUGAAAUCCAUAAGUUACCUCUAGUAUAGGUAAAAAUGAAACCUCCACAACAUAUAUAGUCACACCAAAGUAUAUUGAGAUGAAACUCCAUUAACAAAUGCUUUGAAAAACCUAAGAAAAAAUGCUGAAUUUAUCAAGGGUAAAAUUGCCAUAUUUGUUUCAAACUAGCAUGAUUGUAGGAGAUGCCUAAAUUUUAGGGAGGUGCUUUCAUAGACUUCCAUUUCUGGAAGUGGCAUACACUGUUAAUUCAUUAAAAAUUGUGGACAUACAUGGUGGUUGGACUACAAUUGAAAAAGUAGAGCAUGUGGACUGCCCCAUAAUUUUUCCCACUUGAAUUCAUCCCAAUCGUGUCCUACAUCACAUAUUGUGCGUCUCUAUCAACGCUUACAUACUUGCAGAGAUCCAAACCUUGAAAGUUGUCUAAUCUCUCUAGGAACCCCAAACCUCUAGACGGUGACAAACUCUCACUUUGAUUUCAUUUGAGGCUUAGCCCCUACAUAGCCUUUUUUAAGUAGGCUCACAGAGAACCCUAAUUUUGUUAGCUACCUAAAUCCUGAAGAAACUAGGAAAUCAAAAAUACCCAGAACGACCUCAAAACCCCAUGAAGAGAACAGAAAACAAGCAGCACAGUACAGUCCCCAUAAAAAUCACCUUGCCUGAAUGUAUACAAUAUUCCCACACGAAAAAAAACUGUAAACACGGGUUGAAGAACUCCAAAUUUAGAGCUGCUGCACAAGACUAACAUGAAUACUUAGGUCAAAAUUUCAUUAAAUUCUUUAUCUCUAUAGAAGUAGAGUGGCAUUGCCAUAAAGUCCACCAAGGAUAAAAAAAAUAAGUAUCUUAAGCUCUAAUAUUUGACCUAGCAAUAUCAUGGCCUAUGGAGGACUUUGAUUAUGCGAUUUUAACGUGCCAUCUUCCAAUAAAGUAAGAGUUGGGAUACCCUAUGUGUUAAUAUUGUGCUUUAGAUUUAAUCUGUUACCUCAAUUUAAUCAGUACAAGUUCUUAUUCUAUUUGCCUCAAUCGAAAAUUCGAAUUUCUGCGAGUUGGGUUUGUUGCUGUUAAUUAAUUCCCUAAGUUUUUCAAAGGUAUUAAUGACUACGACAAAUUGUAAAUCCAUGUUCUUGUAUGUUCAAGUAAUUCCAUUUCAAAAAAAAUAUUGUAAUCCUUUUUUUUUUUUUUUUUUUUUCCCAUUAUGUUGUUUUUUUGUUUCUUUACGGGGCUGACGUUUAAAAGCUUUUCAUGUAACAGAGACAGAUUAAAUUCUCUAAAUGAUGGUUCCAAUAUUUCUCAUUUUAGCUGGAGAAUGAAAACCACACCAAACUCAGUACGGAACUUGAGGAGAAGAACCGCCAGCUGAGGUACAAAUUUAUUAAAUCAUCAUGAACUUGUAAGAUAUAUGUGGCUGUUUAGCUGGUAUUGUUGUUUGAUGUUUCUGCUGGAAUUGGACUGGCUUGCAACAGGCAGAUGAAAGGUGAGGAUCUUGAAGAGCUGGAUCUGGAUGAGUUGCUGAAGUUGGAACAACUGGUGGAAGCAACCCUUGUCCGUGUGAUGGAAACUAAGGUCUGCCCCUUGUGUAUGCAGAGUAUAUUUUAAUUGCUCUGUGUUGUGAAAAGCAAAUAAACUAACAUCUAAAUGCAAAUUUCAGGAAGAACUGAUUAUGAGUGAUAUUGUGGCACUUGAGAAAAAGGUUAGAUGAUUGAUACGUACUCUGUAAAUGAAAACAAAUUUCAGCAUAAAUAAUCAGCAUAAAUAAUCAUAACAAAGUUUGGCUCUGGUUUUCUCUUGCAUGCACCAACUAUAAUUUCAGGGAACUGAGCUGGUAGAAGCCAACAAUCAGAUGGUGAUGUUAAGGGAGAGGGUAAGCAACAUAUAUAUUGUUCUUAAUAAAAGAUGGGUUGAUCCUUUUUUCUUUUUUUAAAAUAAAUAUUUUGUAUUUUUUGCAUAGCAGAUGGUGAUGUUAUCCAAAAGAAAUACUGGACCUGCGCUUAUGGAGCCAUCUGAAUCUGCUACCUCCACCAGCUGCAACAGUGCUCUCAGUCUCUCUCUUGAAGAUGACUGUUCCGACGACGUCGUUUUAUCUCUCAAACUGGGGUGAGCUAGCUUUCUUUUGCUUUGCUAUUUGUGUAUAUAUAUAUCUUUGCUUUUUAAGUUUGAUGAGAUCAGAGAAUAGAAGUUUUAGAAUUUUGAAUACUCGGUCGGUUGUCGUGCAAUACAGAACAACUAGGAUAUUUUCUGUACUUGUCAACUUGAUUCUGGGUUUCAAUUUUAACUUUACCAAACCAAAAAUAUUGGAUGUUUUCUGUACUUGACAAUAUUUUUUUAUUAUAGAAAUGUUAUUUGAAAGUCAUCAUGAGUUUCAGAUAUUUACAGUAAUAUGUUUUUGGAAAAAAGAUAUAUCAUUUGGGGCUAACCAAAGUGUUUUCACCUCUUUACCACUUACCCUCCCAAGCAUUUUAAUUAUUCAUGGUAUUUUAUUUAUUCUUCACCAUUUUUAAUAAAUUUUCUUUUCACUUUACUAUGAAUUUCAGGCGUCCCUAAUUUCCUUGGUUAAGAAGUGGAGAAAGAUGAAAGUUUACUCUCCUUAUAGCUAAAUAAAGAAAGUUGUGGUAUUGUGAGAUAUCGAUGAUUGUGUGUUUUAAUUUGAUAGCAGAUUGAAAAUAUUGAAGGGAGAGUAACUUUGUGUUGUAUCAAAACAUGUGUAUUACAUGCAACCUGUGACAUAUUGCUCUUUGACUUUGUAUUGUAUUUAGAACUCUGUAUCAAUGCAGCCUGCGUGGAGAGACUUGUUAAUUUUGUAUUGUUUGGGUUAUCAAUGUCACACAGGCUAACGGUACGCGCGGGUCGUAGACCGAUGUGCUUAAAGACUUAGAUGUCUUUCUUCAUUGUUUUCACGUUACAAAGCUCAUUUCAAGAUAUCGUGAAGUUUAGUCCCACGAAUGACAUUAUAGGUAAAAUUGUUUAUUUAUACUAUUACAACUCAUGUACACCAAAACUUAAACCAGACAAAAACAAGUGAAAUAAAUUUUUAAUGUAGGAACCAGAAUGUUUAAGAAGAAACUCAUAUAAUUGUCUGCGUGGAUUAAAUCAACACAAGUGGCCUGGGGAAAGUAACCUGAGCAAGAUAAAGACGAAGCCAUGUGUCAUGGUGGGCUCAAUCAAGUGGCUUGACAGCGCAUGACCUGUGUCAAAGUGCCAUCCUCCACACCCAAAAAAAAAAAAAAAAUUUCUUCUUUCCUUUGUAGCCUGACACGUAAUAAGAAUUUUACCGACAGAAAAAACAAAACUUAGAUAUUUCUGACAAACUCCUUCACAAAAAGUCAGAUGCCACAUUUUCUCAAGUCACAUAUCAACGGUGGAGAUUGCAUUCAUCAACGUCAACAGCAUCUGUGCCCGUCGAUUUGCUCAGGUUUCUUAACCUUGUUUCCCCAGAAGAUAAUAGAAGAAUAUAUUUUUCCAUAUAAAGGAAAAUUCAUAAAUCAUUUCAUUUCCUUUCUUGACCAACAACAAGACAGCAGCAGCAGCAGCCAUUUCUCUCUCUCAUUUCGAACGCAGACCCCGAAACCCACCAACGAAGGUAAACAUUAAACAAAGAGGAAAACCCAGAAUUUAAUUCAUUAGGGUUCUUCUCCUCCUCUUCUUCUUCUUCUUUGUGUUUUGGGUGGUGGGUUUUUCUGGGUUUUGUUCAUUUAGAUCUGGGAACCAUUAAAAGUUUAAAAUUGAGAAGAAACCCAGAAAAUAUUGUAUAGUUUUUGAGUGUAUGUGAAAAGUGGUUGGUUUGAAUUUUUUUGAAGAUGAUGAGGAAUAAGAUCAAGAUCAAGAAGAUUGACUACUUGCCUGCAAGGCAGGUGACCUUCUCAAAAAGGAGAAGAGGGCUCUUCAAGAAAGCUGCAGAGCUAUCUGUUCUGUGUGAAUCUGAGGUGGCAGUUGUCAUCUUUUCUGCUACUGGCAAGCUUUUUGAUUAUUCAAGCUCAAGGUACCAGCAACAUACCUUAUAAUUAUUUUGACUUUUCCUUCCUUGAAAAAAUAACAAUAUGUAUGAUCAUGAUGUCUCUGAAGUCUGAUGACUUCACUUCUCUCUGUGUGGGUGAGAGAGAGAGAGAGGGGGAGGGAGAUUCUGAGAUCCAGUCAUUUGGUUAGAAAUAUAUUUAGAGGAGAGGGAGAGUGCCUUUAUGGAAAUUUCCUGUCCUUCCAGAAAUUCCAUGGUUUGAACUGUGCAAACAGACAUUAUUUAUUGUAUCUAAGCUUCCAACAGAAAAAAUGGAGAAUCCAGAAGCUUCCAGAGAGACUUUUAGAUAGGUUUUUUUUCUGUUGUCGUCGAAAUAUACUUUUAGAUAGUCAUACUCUGUUUCAAAAAAACCUAGUUCGAGGGUCACUACCUUGUAUAUCUAUCCACUUAAGGAAAAUAAAGUCUGCUUUUGACUAAGACAACUUCUGGAAAGAUGUGGUGUGUAUGAUGGUGAUGUUCUUUUCUUGUACUACAUGCAUGCAUAUGUAAAACUGUGUACGUAUAUAUCUUGUUUAGCAAAUUCUGUAAUCUUAAACCCUUAUACACAAGUAUAUCUCGCUGCUUCAAUCUCAUCCUUUCCCACCUAUCACAUGUUGGUAAUAGAUAUUAUAUAAUAUCUUAGGUGGGGCCUAUACAAUGAAGAAUAUCAUUGUCCAAGUCCAAAUUAAAAUUAAUGUUCCCUUGUGAGAGACACGAUAUGUUAGACCAUCAAUCGAAUCAUACACUCAAAUAAUAUAACAGACUUUUUUUAAAUUCAUAGUUUAACCACAUAAAAUGAUAGUGACUAUAGCUAGUGAGUGAGUAUUCGACCCUUUACAAUAUGUAUAUACAUCUAUAUGUAUAUAUGUUAUCCUUCGAACAUUCUUCCCACUUAAAUUAAUGUUCUCUUGUGAGAGACACGAUAUAUUAGACCAUCAAUCGAAUCAUACACUCAAACAAGAAAGCAGAUUAACAAUUCUAGAUUCGUAGUCUGAUCACAGGAAAUGUUAGAUAAUCUAGCUAGUAAGAGAGUAUUUAACUCUUUACCAUAUAUAUACAUAUCUAUAUGUAUCUUAUCCAUCGAAGUUAAGAUAUUUGUGGGUUGUGUUUGAAAAGGACCUAAAAGACAAAAUGCCCGUACAUUAAUGUGGUUGCAAACAUUGAAUUAUAUGUUUGUAAUUUUCUUACUAGGAAUAAAGUGGUAUGAUGAUAACUUGAGAAUUCAUCAUAGAAGCCUUGAAGACUUUCAGCAGGAAUAUGCAUGCAUGCUUUCAACUAGGGCAAUGGGUGGUGGAGCUAUGACCAUAACAUGUUUUUGCCAUGGAAUAAGAAUUAGAUGUGCAUGCAUGAGAGGAAGGAAAGAGAGGGAGGGUGAGAAUGAAAUGUUAACUAUGGAAUAAGAAUUUAAAUAAGGUCACGCAUCCUUUCAUUUAUAUUUUUUAAAAAACACACAAACUAGAAAUACCACCUCCAAAGUGGUCUUCUUUAACCCAAAAAUAUACUCUUAAGGUGGUCUUAUAUGGCGAUACUAUUUGCAAGAGAGUGAAUGUCGUUAAACAUUUUUUUUUUUUUUUUUUUUAAAAAAAAAGCUUUGAUACAAAUGGAGGUGUCAGUUAAAAAUAACAAAUUGGAGACGACAUUUAAUUGUUUAUGUCUGUAUGCAAUUUCUAAUCAGUUUCCUUUAAAAGUUAUUUUUCUAGGUUUCCUAAUUGACAUGUUAUAUGCAAAGUUAUUUUAUAUAUUUUUUUAAAGGUUUUCUAAUUGUAUUUAUAUUCAAGUACCAGAGUACUUGCAACCAAAACAAAAACCGUGAAAUGAAUAUUUUACUAUUACAUUAUUUUUCAAACUUCUCGAAGUUUCCUAGUAGAGCAAUAUUGGUCCGAAUUCUCCAAGUUUGGAAAAGUAUUGCUCUUGGAUAUUAUACUAUAUUUUCAAAGAUUUAUUUAGUAUUGUGUCGAAAUAUUUAUAUAGGAACUCCAAAGUCAUGUGUGUUCAUGAGACUUGCCCAAUAUUAUUAUUAAGUUUUGAGAUGUUUCAUUCAUAUUUGUAUUUUGAAACUCUUAAGGGCUUGUUUAGCGAGGCCAUGUUAUAACAUGUUGGAGUCCUUAGCCACUUACACCAAGUUUUCUUCCCAUUUUAGUCGGUUCACCACUUCAUAGUACAUCUUCUUCCCAUGUCUUAGGUCCACCACUCCCUAUGUUGUCACUUGGUUGUUUAAUGUUUUACAUGAUUCCAAGUUUUCUACUAGAUUUUCAUGUCCUAUUAGCCUAGCUUUGGGGAGUCUAGAUCCCCUUGUUCCAGUGGGAUAAUACUAUUCACUACAAGGGUGACUUUUUAAGAAAGUAACAAUCCUUUAGACCGAUAAGGAUGAUAAAUCAAGCUCAUAAUGUUGGUGCUAUGACUACCUAUGCAAGUACCAAAAAUGGGUCAAUUAAGGAGGUAGAAGUCGUAUGAUGAUUUUAGUCUUUCUAGAUGAUGCGAACAAAAUUCAAGAGCCGUGCGUCCUGUAAAAAGCUAGAUGAAGAUGGCUAAAACACUUGUUCGAGACACUACUUUGGACCUUUAAUAUUUUCUUCAAUUCUGUAAUUUGGUUGAAAAUACUUACAUUGUGGGCGUCUACUUGCAUUAAUGACGCAUCGUGACAAUCGGAUGACUAAAGAUUUAGCUUAAAACACACAACUUUGGAAUCCACCAUGAAGUAGUGAGGAAACCUUAAGUUUAUUGAUAAUCUGAAAUAACAUAACCUAACCCUAGCCACAGGUUAAAAAUUCUUUAAAUACCCUAGAAGCCCUACUAAUAAACAAGGAAUUAAAAUAGGAAAAAUUACAAAGUUUUCAAAAACUUAUAAGACAUAAAAACUGGAUUUUGGGUUGUUAACGAUCUCGGAUGCCUGAAAAAGCUGUUCUCUUCGAAUCAAUGGGUCAUGGGCCCAAACUUGCAGCUUUCUAAGUGUGCCCUUUAGCGCGCCUCUUCAACUCUUCUUCAAUUGCCUUCGACAUCUUUUCUACAUGAAUUAAGUAUGUUCAAAGAAGAGAGUUCUUGUCUAAGAUGUCUUAACCACGUUUUAGUAUUUCGAUCUCUAAGGGCGUAUUGAGGAAUGGAGAUGAUGAUGUCGGGACAUUGUAGAAAGCUGGUGUCGGGAUGAUGGUUGUGGAUUUAUUCACCUAGUAGUGACUUUUGAAAUGUUUUGCGCAAAAUGAGUGGCUUUCUUUACCCGUUUUCUAUUCUGCCUGAUGGCUUGUGAAAAUUUUGGUACAAACACUAACUUAACUAGUAUGUGGUUUAGUAAUCAAGCAAGCAAGAUCUUAGGCAGUAGAAGUUGCCUAAGAUUGGCGAGUUUUGGUUUUCGGAUGAUUGCCAAACCACGACAAGUUGGUUUGUUUAAUGGUUCUUUCUAGCUUGGUAUGAGGUCACUCUGGGGAGCUUGAGUUUUGGUUUAAGAUUUAACAAUCAAUCUAUUAGAAGAUACAUAAGUGUAACAAUCAAUCUAUUAAUAUUCAUAGGCGCGAAAGAUUUUUCCAAUGUAUUGUUUAUCAAUCUUUUCCACCAACAUCGAAUGACCCCAUACAAGGAAAAAUGAAUUCGAAUUCAAGUAAAUCUUUUUUUUUUUUUGUCAAAUGGUGAUAUUUCAUUUCGAAACCUCGUCAAAAAUGGGGAGGGCACAAAAACUACAAAACAAAGCAACCUAGAAAGGAAGCUCACUAAUACAAUGCGUCUGAUCUCUAUUAGAGAUACGAUAUAUAAGUUGGUCUCUAAAGAUAGUCACCCUAGCAUUUUCCAUAUAUAAAUGCCUUGUGUUGUAAACUAUCUCAGUUGCUUGUUGGGUUGGUCUUUUAUAUAUAUAUAGGGACAUUCUCCAAUAAAUAUUCAUUAAAUAUGUUGGUAGUCUCUUAGGGACCGUAUAUAUAUAUAUAUAUAUAUAUAGGUUUUCUAUAAAAUAUCUAUGAAGGAAUUUGAUUUGACGUUUUGAUUUGCAUAACCAAACCAUGCGAUAAAGCCAGCAGCAAAUAGCUUCACGUUCUCAUUAUGCAUAUAAAACAAGUAUUUAUUUCAUUUCAAAAUCUCCAAAAUCAUAGUUGUGAUGUGGUCUUGAAUGAAACCCUUUUCUGAUGCUAUCAAGGAACAGUACUAAUGGUACAAAAAUAUCCAAAUCUGUAACAUAUAUAUUUUUUAAUUUGUGGGGGAAGGGAGGGCUAAAUUAGUUAAUUUGCUUUUCACUGUUGAAUUUACUUUUUUAAUAAAUCAUAGUUAGAUUAUUGCAUGCAUGUCCAAAGUGGUUGGUUAGAUUAUUGCAUGCUAUUUUUUGUAAAAACAUCUAAUGGAAUUAUUCUUUGUACUUGUUUUCUCUUGAGAUGAUUGGGUUAUUCUAUGGUGUAGCCCUUUUUUGGAUCUCCAAUAUAUAACUGGAAAAAUUCUGGGUCUGCAGAAAAUUGGAAAUCCAAUCCUGGGUUUGCUUGUAUUUUGCUUUAUAAUUGAAAAUGAAAUUAUGGGUUUGCAUUAUAAUUGGAAACCAAAUUCCAACACAAAAAGUUCUGAAUUUUUUGCAGUGGGGGGUAAGUUGUAGAUCACUCUGAUUGCUGGUUAUGUUAGUUAGAGACACUUAAGUAUGAAAAUAAUUCAAUUUUUUGGCAAGAUGCCAUCAUGCUUUAUGGCUUAGCGUUGAAGUUAUGCCAGUGAUAAAUUGCAGAUUAUCAAAACCCUGAAUUAGACAUUAGUGUGUGUGUCUUGGUGUUUGCAAACCAGAAGUUUGAAUAAUGGGGUUAAAUUCUUUUCCAUUUUUUUGUUUCUCAUGUAUGUUUUGUCACAUGUUAGUUCUUCAAUGUCUUAACAAUUUACUAGUGAACAUGCCGAUUGAUUUUUAUUUUUUUUCGUUUUUUGUUAUGAAGUACCAAGGAUGUUAUUGAAAGGUACAACGCAGACAUAAAUGGUGUCGAAAAAUUGAACAAUCAAGAGAUUGAGCUGCAGGUAAAUGAGUUCAAUGGUUACCUUUUCCGUUUCCCCCUUUUAAAUUGUUCUGCAAUUAAUGGUAACAUACUAUGUAAUCUGCACUUUGGAGCUUCAAAAUAUCUCUCUAUGUAGCAUCUGAAGGUUCUGAUUGUUUGAACAUAAAUAAAAACAUUAUUUCCUGUUACAUGCCAGACUUAUGUACAUAUGCAUGCAGCAGGGGUCGGCCUCUUGGGCUAAAUAUAUGUAGUUAGGUGGCUUUGAUAAGUCCAUUUCUAGUGGGACUUAUGAAUUUGGUCUACAGAUGGAAGGAAAUAGUAGUCUUGGGCCAAGUCCUGGUGUUGUUUUGAGAAUUAGCCAAUGAAAUAGAUUCAUCAGCAACUAUCAAUCAAUCAUAUUUUUUUUCAGCAAAAAAUACCCUGAACGAUCGCAAAACCCACAAAAAUAAAUAAUAAUAAUAAUAAUUUCCCUUGUUGCCCCAGCACCAGAAGACUCUAAACACAAAAAUUUGGAGCAGCUUAGCACAAGAAUAACAUGAAUACUUGGGUCAAAAUUUCAUUAAACUCCUUAUCUCUAUAGAAUUUGAGUAAUCAGGAAAGAAACUCUGUUUUGGUGCUAGAGUAGUGGUUGGUUGGGGAGUAAAAAUGUUGAAGUUUUUGCCCUAACAAUAUGGAUGAGUGGUAUCCUGCCAUCUUCCAAUAAAGUAAGAUUCCCCUACGUGUUAAUAUUGUGCUUUAGAUUUAAUCUGUCAUCUCAAUUUAAUCUGUCAUCUGUUCUUUUUCCAUUUGCCUUUAUCUAAGUUGGGUUUGUUGCUAUUAAUGAAAUCCCUAAGUUUUUCUAAGGUAUUAAUGACUAGGACAAAUUGUAAAUCCAUGUUCUUGUAUGUCCAAGUAAUCAUUUGAUUCCAUUUUCAAAAAUAUAUUGUAAUCCUUUUUGUUUUUUUUUCCCCUUAUAUUUUUCGAUGCUGACGUUUAUAAGCUUUUCAUUUGACAGAGACAGAUUAAAUUAUGUAAUGGUUCCCAUAUUUAUCAUUUUAGCUGGAGAAUGAAAACCACAUCAAACUGAGUAAGGAACUCGAGGAGAAGAGCCGCCAGCUGAGGUACAAAAUUCAUGAUCUUGUAAGAUAUAUGUGGCUGUUUAGCUGGUAUUGUUGUUUGAUGUAUCUGCUGAAAUUGGACGGGCUUGCAACAGGCAGAUGAAAGGUGAGGAUCUUGAAGGGCUGAAUCUGGAUGAGUUGUUGAAGUUGGAACAACUGGUGGAAGCAAGCCUUGGCCGUGUCAUGGAAACUAAGGUCUGCCCUAGCUAUUUUAUUUUCUAGUAACCAGUGCCCUAGCUUCUUCUUUUUCUUUUUCUUUUUUUUUCUUUUCUGGAUGAUUCUUGACUGAAGACAUAAGCAAUGAACCGUUAGAAUAAUAUAAAGUAGGUCUUUGUUUGAAGAAGUAUCGUCUCAGUAAAUAGGGUAUAUUUUUAUUGCUGUAUUUUGUGAAAAGCAUAGGUGUAUUCUGAGUUGUCACUAAGCUUUAUUUUCUGAAAACUAACAUCUAAAUGCUGUUCCUUUCUUUUCCAGGAAGAGCUGAUUAAGAGUGAGAUUAUGGCACUUGAAAGAAAGGUUAGAUGAUUGAUACGUACAGAUCUGUAAAUGGAAACAAACGUAAAAUAAUCACGACUUAAAAACAUAUAUAAAUUAACAUCAAUAAUCAUAACCAAGUUUGGCUUUGGUUCUCUCUUUCAUUCACUGACUAUAAUUUCAGGGAACUGAGCUAGUUGAAGCUAACAACCAGCUAAGGCAGACGGUAAGCAACUACCACAAUCAUGUACAUACUUCUUCUUACUUUUUCUUCUCCUCUUUUUGUUUUUUGAGAGGAAGAGUGCUCUUAAUAAAAGAUUAUGGGUUGAUCUUUUUUUCUCUUGUAAUUUUUUGCAUAGCAGAUGGUGAUGUUAUCCGGAGGAAAUACUGGACCUGCGCUUAUGGAUCCGGAGAGGUUGAAUAAUAAUAUUGAAGGUGGAGGAGAAGAAGAAGGCAUGUCAGCUGAAUCUGCUAUCUCCACCACCUGCAACAGUGCUGUCAGUCUCUCUCUUGAAGAUGACUCCUCCGAUGAGGUCACUUUGUCUCUCAAACUGGGGUGAGCUACUUUUGCUAUUUGCUAUUUAUAUGCUUUUAAGUUUCAUCUGAGAAGACAUGCUUGAUCAUUGCUUUAUUUGAUGGUACGCGGGCGUCGUGCAAUAAGAGGGAGGAGGAUAUUUCCCUUCCCUUGUGUUGUGAGGGUUUUGCUUAGAUUUAUUUCUGUACUUGUCAACUUUAUCUUGGGUUUCAUUUUUUAACUCUACCAAACCAAAAUAUUUGGAUUUUUAGAAAAGAAAAACUAUGAAUUGCUUAUCCCGCCGACAUUUUUUUUAAAUAUAGAAGUAUUGACAAUUCUCAGAAGUCAUCAUGAAUUUCAGAUAAAUUGUACAAAAACAAUUGCGCGAUGAUUUAUUUCCCAGCAACUUCAAUAUUUUCAGUAAUACAGUAUAAGUGCUCAUUUGGGCCUAACUGUUUUCACCUAUUUACUACACCGGAGCUUCUACAAUGAGGAGUUUAGAGUGAGGAGCUUAUUUGAGGGGUUUAAUCCCACUAUCAAACUAUUUAAAAUGUUUAAGUUCAUUGAUUUUCUCCCAUUUGUUGAUGGUGGGAUUGAACUCUUCAAAUAAGUUCCUCACUCUAAACACUUCAUUAGAGCCUUUCCGUCUACAUACUAACCCUCCCAAUUCGAUUGAAGAUGUUUUAGGGGUUUGUAGAUCAAGUUUCUUUUGAGGUUUCAUUUUUAUGUAUUUGGGCCAUUUCAUUUUUUGAGUUUAUUUAAAUUGAAAGAAGUAAGUGACUUUCACUGAAAUUUCACAUUUUUUUAAAUUAUAUUUUGUUAUAGAAAAUAAUAGAUGGCUUAUGUGAAUUAACGUCAUCGUUAUUGCAUAGUAUGGCAAUCUAAAUAAAAUUAAUUUAAACAUUUUUUUGUAUGAAAAUAAAAAUAAUUAACUUUCCCGCAUUGUUUUAUGAAAAUUACAGAAAGCUUCAGUUGAAGAAUCCCAACACUGAAAGGGGCUGAAAAUGUAGGGGAGAAUUUAUUCCACACCCACUAUGACAGCGUAACCUGCAUAAUACAAGUUAAAACAUCCCCACAAACAAAUGUUGGUGCACAGUUGCAUUCAUGGAAUUUUAUUUAUUCUUCACAUUUUAAAUAAAUUUACUAAUCAUUUUGUACGUAUUUUCUCUGAAUUUCAGGCGUUAAGAAGUGAAGAAAGAUGAAAGUUUACUCUCCUUAUAACUAAAUAAAUAAAGUUGAGGUAUUGUAAGAUAUCAGUAAUUGUGUGUCUUAACUCGACAUAACAUUGAAAAAUAUCAAAGGGAGGGUGACUGUGUGUUGUAUCUAAACCUAUGCGUUACAUGCAAGCUUGAAAUUGCUCUGACUUUGUAUUGUAUUUAAAACUCUGUAUUAAUGCAGCUUGCAUGGUGAGUUAUGUUGAUUUUGAAUUUGCUUGGGUUAUCAUUGUCACAGCGAGACACGUACUGUUUGCGUGGAUUAAAUGGAUAAAAGUGAACUGGGGGGAAGGAACCUGAGCAAGAUAUAGACAGCCACGUGUCGCAUGGUGGGCCCAAUCAAGUGACAUGACAGCGAAUGACCUGUCUCCAUCCGACUCCACAUAAAAAUAAAAUUUAUUCAUUUUUUUGUAACCCUACACGUAGUAAGAAUUAAACCGACAACAAACUAAACUUAAGAUACUUCUGAACGAAAAAACAUAACUUAGAUAUGGACAAAAUCGAUCACAAAAAGUAAGAUGCUACAUUUUGUGCUGACGCAUUACAAGAUCAACGGUGGAGAUUGCAUGCAUCAACGGCAAGGUGCAUCUGUCCCCGUCGAUUUGCUCAGGUUUCUUACAUUGUUUUCCCAGAAGAGACCGAAAGUAAAGCAGAGGAUAAUAGAAAUAGAUGUUUUCCAUAAAAAGGAAAAUUUCCUUUCUUGAACAACCAGCCACCACCAGCAGCCGCCCUUUAUCUCUCUAGUUCUCUUAGUUUUUCUGGACAGACCAAAACUUCAGACCGGGCUGAAACCCCGACAAAGGUAAACAUUAAAAACAGAGAGGAAAACCCAGAGAUUAAUUAAAUUAAUUAGGCUUCUUCUUCUUCUUCUUCUUCCUCUUCUUCUUUUUGUUGUGAACUUGUGACCUAUUUUGGUUGGUUUCUUCUUCUUCUUCUUUUUGUUGUGAACUUGUGACCUAUUUUGGUUGGUGGGUUUUUUCUGGGUUUUGUUCAUUUAGAUCUGGGGACCAUUAAAAGGUUAAAUUUUGAGAAGGAACCCAGAAAAUAUUGUGUAGUUUUUGAGUGUAUGAAGAUAAUAAUAUAUGUGAAAAGUGGUUGGUUUGAAUUUUUUUGAAGGGAAACGGUGAAAAUGAUGAGGGAGAAGAUCAAGAUCAAGAAGAUUGACUACCUGCCAGCAAGGCAGGUGACCUUCUCAAAGAGAAGAAGAGGGCUCUUCAAGAAAGCUGCAGAGCUAUCUGUUCUGUGUGAAUCUGAGGUGGCUGUCAUCAUCUUCUCUGCUACUGACAAGCUCUUUGAUUAUUCAAGCUCAAGGUACCAGCACCCACCACUAAAUACCUUAUAAUUCUUUUGACUCUUUCCUUCCUUGCAAUGAUAACCAAUAUGUAUGAUCAUGAUGUCUGAAGUUUGACUUGACUUGUGUGUGUGUGUGUGUGCGAGAGAGAGAGAGAGAGAGAGAGAGAGAGAGAGAGAGAGAGAGAGAGAGAAUCUGAGAUUCAGUCAUUUUGGUAGAAAUAUAUUUAGAGGAGAGGGUGCCUUUUAUGGAAAUUACCUGUCCUUCCUGAAAUUCCAUGGUUUGAACUCUGCAAACAGACAUUAUUUAUUGUGUCAAAGGCAAAUAGAAGCUUCUAGAGAGAGAGAGAGAAAAUCUUUUAGAUAGUUAUACUCUAUUUCAAAGGCAACUAGUUCGAGGGUUACCACCUUGUAUAUUUUUUAUUAAGACAACUUCUAGCUAGGUGUCGCAGUUUGAGAAACAUUAUAUGAUGAUGUUCUUUUCUUGUACUGCAUGCGCAAUCAAUUUUGUUUACCAAGCAAAACUGUGUAUAUCUUUUUUGGACAAAGUGUAUAUAAAGAAGCUGUAAUCUUAUCCUCUCCCACCUAUCACAUAUUGGUGGUAGAUAUUAUAUAUAUAAAAUCUUAGGUGGGGCUUAUACAAUGAAGAAUAUCCUUGUUUCAAUCCAAGGUCAUAAAAUUAAUGGUUCUCUUGUGAGAGACACGGUAUGUUAGACCAUCAAUUAAAUCAUACACUCAAACAAGAAUAUAGAUCACCAAAUUUAGAUUCGUAGUUUGACCGCAUAAAAUGAUAGAUAGUCUAGCUAGUAAGAGAGUAUUUUACUCUUUCCCAUACCAUAUAUACAUAUGUAUACCAUAUGUAUAUAUCUUAUCCUUAAAACUUAAGAUAAUGGAAGGUGUCUUUCAUUCUCCCCUCCCAAACUAAAAAAAUGCCAGUAAAUUAAUGUGGUUACAAACAUUGAAUUAUAUGUUUGUAGUUUUCUUACUAGAAAUAAUGUGAUAUGAUGAAGCCCUGAAGACUUUCAGCAGGAAUAUCCAUGCAUGCUUUCAAAGUAGGGCAAUGGGUGGUGGAGCUAUGACCAUAACAUAUUUUUGCCAUGAAUGCAUGAAAGAUUUUGUUAAAACCUAGUUUCAUACUUAGAUGUGCAUGCAUGAGAGGGAGGGUGAGAAUGAAAUGUUAACUAUGGAAUAAGAAUUUAAAUAAGGUCAUGCUUCCUUUCAGUUAAAAAGAAUUCCGUUAUCUAGAUGUUCCUAUUUUACUAUUAAUAACAUGCGUCAAAUGAAGGAAACAGAUUAAAAGACAAUUUGAAAAUGCAAAUGCAAAUUAAGAACAAAAUUAAAAGACUUUUUAACUGUUUAUGUCAGUAUGCAAUUUCUUAUCAAUUUCUAUUGAAAAUUUCAUGUAAAAUUUAUUUUUCUAGGUUUCCGGGCAUAAUUUGGCACGUUAUAUGCAAAGCUGCUAGCUUGUCUAGUUUGUCUAUUUUGUAUUUUUUUUCAAGUUUUUCUAUUAAAGCUCUCGAUAUUGCAGUCCAUGUUUUCAUUUUUGCAACCAGAACAAAACAUAAAACGAUUUUACUCAAAUCAAUAUACAUUGAAAAACUAGAGGAGAGUAAAAGUGUUUUUCUUUAGCCUUAGAUUUUACUUUACAUUAUUUUUCAAACUUUUCCAAUUUUCCAAUUAGAGCAAUAUUGGUCCAAAUUUUCCAAUUAUAAAUAGGGCUUGUUAAGCGAGGUCAUGUUAACACUAAACAUGAUUCUAAGUUUUCUAUAAGGGUGGGUAUGGUCCGAUUCUCACCCCAAAUUAGAAUCAGAACUAUUCAUCUAGUUUGGUUCAAUUUGGUUUUGACGAAAAAAUUCUCCGGUCUAGUGUGGUACGAUUUGCCCAUGAGUAGGUUCAUGUCACAAUUUUGGAUCGGAAUCCCUUUUUAAAAUUUUUUUUUUUUGGGCUUAAAAAUUCACAAAUUGCCCAAUUUCAUGCAAAGAAAGGUGAUUGGGCCUAGAAAAGAGAGGUGAUUUGUAGUUGGGCUUGGGGAAAUAUUAAUUAUGGGCUUAGAAAUUUUGCAUUGGGCUUAAAUUUUUUAUUAAAAACUUAAAAAAUAAAUAGUCGGUUCGGUUUGGUUUAGUCCGAUUUUUUCACUACAAGAAUCGAAAUCAAAAUCAAACCAAACUGGUUUGGUUUUUGGUCAACUCGGUUAUUUUUUGCCCCAAUCAGCUCUGUUUAUGCCCACCGGUACCCUAGUUUUCUACUCGAUUUUCAUGUCCUGUUAGCCUAGCUUUGGGGAUGUUGCAGUAGGGCUUGAUUAAGUUAUUCUUCAAGAAUCAAUGGUUUAAAAGAGUCUAUUAAUAUAUCUACCAGGGAAUUGGCCUCCAAGUGAUGUGUGAAGUUUCCGACGUGUUUAAUGAUCUUUCUAGGGUGCAUCUGGCUUCUGAAGCUCUAAAGUGUUUGAGAAGAACAAGAUUAGUUAAGAAUGAAAUGUUAUAGUCUAAGGUGUGUUAACUACAUUUUAGUUCUUCGGUGUCUAUGGCCGUACUGAGGAAUGGAGACGAUCACGUCCUGACAUAGGAGAAAGAUGACGUUGGGCCGAUGGUCAUGGAUAUAUUCACCUAGGUAGAGACUCUUGAUAUUUUUGGCGCAAGCCAGUAGAAGUUUGAACUUGAUUUGCACCAUAAAAUUAAUAACAAUUCACUUAUAUGUGAUAUCGAAGGUGUAUGAAUAUGUGUCGUUCGGUAGUAUUAUUGGCAUAGGCCUACGUAGAGUUGCGUGAAUUGUCAGAUCUAUCACUACCCUGCAAGAAAAACUUGGAUCUGAUUCGUAUUUGCAUGGUAGCUGGCGCUGAAGAAUUCAGGAUAAAAAGAAGCCAAUCAAAAACACCCACUCACUAAAAAGAGGCCAACCAAAGAUAACAAUAUUCAAAGCAUAUUUCAAUGAGCUCCAGAGUUGAUGUGAGAGGAACUGUCUGUGACUAAGAUUUUUGAGGCCCACUUAUUAGCCGACUUGAUUUUCUCACGUCGGUUUGCCUUGUGUUCUAAAAUAUCUCAGCUGCUUGGGUUGGUCUUAUAUAUAAUAAUUCCAUAAAAUAUCUAUGAAAGAAUUAGAGUUGACGUUUUGAUUUGCAUAUGUAAUCAAACCAAGCAAUAAAACCAGCAGCAAAUAGCUUAACGUUCUCAUUAUGCAUAUCAAAUAAAAUUAUAUAUAUAUAUAUAUGUUAGUGUAUAUCUGUGUUUGCAAACCAGAAGUUUGAAUAAUGGGGGUUAAAUUCUUUUCCCUUUUUUUUUGUUUCUCACGUAUGCUUAGUCACACGUUAAUUUUUCUAUGUCUAAUAAUUUACUAGCGAACAUGCCAAUUGAUUGAUUGUUUUUUUUCCUUUUGUGUUGUGAAGUACCGAGGAUGUUAUUGAAAGGUACAAAGCGCACACAAAUGAUCUCGAAAAAUCGAACAAACAGUUUCUUGAGCUGCAAGUAAAUGAGUUCCAUGACCUUUUCUCUUUCCCCUUUUAAAUUGUUCUGCAAUUAAUUGUAACAUUACUCUGUGAUCUGCACUUUGGAGAUUCAAAAUGUAUCUCUAUAGCAACUGACGGUUCUGAUUAUUGUUUGAACAUAAAAUAAAAUAAAACAUUAUCCUGUUACAUGCCAGACUUAUGUAUAUGCAUGCAGCAGGGUCGGCAUCUUGGGCUAAAUAUAUAUGUAGGUGGCUUUGAUAAGUCCAUUUCUAGUGGACUUAAUUUGGUCUACAUAACAAUUAGCCAAUGAAAAAAUUGGGACAUGGAUUCAUCAUCAACUAUCAAUUAUUAUUUACUUUUAUUGUUAGUUGUUUUCCAAGUGUUCAAAGGAGAGGGUAAAUUAUUUUAUAGGUUUUUACAAAUAAGUCCAUUAUAUAGAGGCUACUUGAAGAUAAAAACCCAAAAUUAGUCACUUGUCAUUUUCUAAUUGGUCUUAGAAAAUUUGAACACACUAAUAACCAAUCAGAAAAUGACAAGUGGUUAGUUUUGGAUUUUUCUCUCCAAAUAGCCUCUAUAUGCGUUUUUGUAUAGUAUAUCAUGUUAGAAUGGACCUAUUUGUGAAAAGUCUAUUAUUGAAUUGUUUUUCAAGCUUUAGGGGAUUUAAUUUCUUAUGGUUUUUUCAGAACUCCAGAUAGUUGAGUUGGAGACUUCUAUGUGUCCCUCUCACUUUGGUUGCAAUUGAGGCUUAGCCCCUAAAUAACCUCUUUCACAGGCUCACAUAUAACCCUAAUUUUGUUAGCUACCUAAAUCCUGACAAAACUAGGAAAUCAAUAAAUACCCAGAACGACUAGGACAAAUUGUAAAUCCAUGUUCUUGUAUGUUCCAGUGAUUCAUUUGAUUCCAUUUUCAAAAAUAUAUUGUAAUCAUUUUUGUUCUUCUCGUUAUGUUGUUUCUUUGUUUUUUUUCAGGGCUGACGUUUAUAAGCUUUUUAUGUAACAGAUUAGAUUAUGUAAUGGUUCCAAUAUUUCUCAUUUUAGCUGGAGAAUGAAAACCACAUCAAACUGAGUAAGGAACUCGAGGAGAAGAGCCGCCGGCUGAGGUACAAAUUAAUUAAAUCAUCAUGAACUUGUAAGAUAUGUGUGGCUGUUUAGCUGGUAUUAUUGCUUGAAUUAUGUGCGGGAAUUGGACUGGCUUGCAACAGGCAGAUGAAAGGUGAGGAUCUUCAAGGGCUGAAUAUGGAUGAGCUGCUGAAGUUAGAACAACUGGUGGAAGCAAGCCUUGGCCGUGUGAUAGAAACUAAGGUCUGCCCUAGCUAAUUUCUUUUCUAGUAAGGAUGGUGCAAGGCUUCACUCUCUGUAUUGUGGUUUAAUGAUCGAACCCGUUUAUUAUAAUUUAGGAAUCCUUGUUGCAGAAUAGUCAAAUGGUGUUAGUACAAGCGAUAAUCUAAAUUAUUAGAGGGGGGGUUCUCACACACACUCACACGACUAAGAUACCAAGGGGGUUCGAACCUGAGACCUUUGGUCUGCAAAUUAAAGUCAUUUUCCAUUGGGUUAGACCCCGUUAGCUUAGUUAAAUGGUGCAAGACAUUGCAUUUGUGUUCCAAUAAGUAAACAACAGCAUCUCUACAAAACACUGAAAUCAUUACCAUUUAAUGAAAUGGUAUAAUAGUAUCCAAUUUUUUUGCCGGAUGAUUCUUGAAUGAAAACCUAAAUGAUGAACUGUUCGAAUAAUAUAAAGUAGGUCCCACAAUUGUCCUUUGUUUGAAGAAGUUGUUUGUGCAUAGAGAGUAUAUGUUCUGGGUUGUCACUAUAAAGUAACAUCUAAAUGCAAAUGUUCCAUUCCCUUUCAGGAAGAGCUGAUUAUGAGUGAGAUUAUGGCACUGGAGAAAAAGGUUAGAUGAUUGAUACGUACUCUGUAAAUGAAAACAAAUUUCAACUAUUUACAAUAAUCAGGACUUUAACAUCAAUAAUCAUAACCAAGUUUGGCUCUGGUUUUCUCUUCCACUCACACCGACUAUAAUUUCAG
rnacentral:lncRNA from 1 species